CAGUCGUGCAGGCGAGUAAUCAGCUUGACCGUAGGAGAUCACAGGCUGUGGCGAGCCUCAAAACCGCCACAACUUGUGCUCCCCUGUCGGCCUCGUGCACUUUCGUGUCGGCUGGUUAACAUCAAUUUCGAUCGUCAAUAAAAAGGCUAGGAAGGGAU
rnacentral:rRNA from 1 species